UGUUCUGGUGUCAACGUGAAAGUUUUAAGUUAAUGUUACAUUAUUUUGAUUUACGACUUUUCUUCUACAAAACAAUGUCUUGAUGUAUCGUAUGCUUGUAAUAACGCUUUUAGUUUCCUUGAAGUGCUCAUGCUAUUCACUGUAGUAAUUCUUUGUUGAAUCGUAAAAGGCAGUUGUUAGCAGUGAAAAAAGCAUAGCUGUUAAAGUACUAAUAACAUUGAUAUUUGGCGAAAAAAAUUAUUUUCAUGCCAUGGAUUUCCAAACUAGUAGUGGUGAUCAUCUAAGAUUCAAGAACGAGGAGUUUGAUGUAUCUUACAGAAAAAUGCUAGGAUCUGCAGGUGAAUCAAGUAAAGAAGUCACAGAAUGUAAUGAAAAAGAGUUCAUUGAAGCAAAUCAAUUAAGAUAUAGUAAAAAUAUGUCACUAUCAUCAAAAAAAAAACCAGGCAUAUUUCAAACUGUUGUUACAGUUGAUGACAUCGAGGAGUUCAGUGGUUUUGAUUGCAAUGAUAUAGAAAGUUUUU
rnacentral:lncRNA from 1 species